CGAUAUCAAUAAGCGGAGGAAAAGAAACUAACAAGGAUUCCCCUAGUAACUGCGAGUGAAGCGGGAAGAGCUCAAAUUUUAAAUCUGGCGUCUUACGGGCGUCCGAGUUGUAAUCUAGAGAGGUGUUUUCCGUGCCGGACCGUGUACAAGUCCCUUGGAACAGGGCGUCAUAGAGGGUGAGAAUCCCGUCCAUGACACGGACUCCCGGUGCUCUGCGAUACACCUUCAAAGAGUCGAGUUGUUUGGGAAUGCAGCUCAAAAUGGGUGGUAAAUUCCAUCUAAAGCUAAAUACAGGCGAGAGACCGAUAGCGAACAAGUACCGUGAGGGAAAGAUGAAAAGAACUUUGAAAAGAGAGUUAAACAAUACGUGAAAUUGUUGAAAGGGAAACGAUUGAAGUCAGUCGUACCGACGGAAAAUCAGCUCUUUAGUGCGGACUUGUGGGCUUACGUGAGUUUUAACACCUCGCUGUUUCCAACGUUCGUGCUUUUUGGGUGUACUUUUUCGUAUGGUAGGCCAAUGUCAGUUUCGAUCGCUAUAAAAUGACCGGCGGAAUGUAGCUUCGAUCUUGUAUUGAAGUGUUAUAGCCUCUGGUAGAUGUGGUGAUCGGGACUGAGGAUUGCAACGAAUACCUUUUGGGCUAUCCGUCUGAUCUCUGAAGGUUGCUUAGGUGCCGAAAGCGUGCUUACGGUUAUCAAAGUCGAUGGUUAAUAGGUUAGAACGGGUUAAAUUCGUUAAGGAUGUUGACGUA
rnacentral:rRNA from 1 species